GAGGAGGGAGAUCAGCUUCCUCUUUAGGGUCACCUCCACUAGAUCACAAUGUACUGUUCUUUCCCUUUCCAGCAUGAGUGAGGUUAGACUUCAGGAGAGCUCUAAUCAGAGAAGGAAAUACAGUGGAACGCACUUUGCUCCAGUCUUCCCGGGCUGAACUUUGCCAGGCCCAGAAGAGUUGGCCAGACACAGACUCAAAGCUCUGUCAAAACAGGGGCCGUGUUUACUGUGUUCAACACUGUAUAUCCAGCAACUGGUGGGCUCCUUUGCACACAGAAGGAACUAGUCCCUUCAGGAGCGCAUGAAGUGGGCAUUAUUCCCGUUUUAUAGAAGAGGAAACCGAGGCCCAAGAGACCACCUGGUCCAAUGGCAGUGGGCGGCAGAGCUGGGACUCCAGCCCCGUCUCCUGGAGCCUGCUCUGGGACACACGGUCGCACCCACAGGCUUGGGGUCCCUGCCCGCAGGUCCCCGCUAUGCCCCGUGGAGCCCUGGGGCAUCCCCUGUGGCCAUGGACGUGGGCGUCUGGCUGCGGGGAGGAGAGGCGAGCCCUGUCCCCAGGGAGAUGGGACGUGCUCUUCCUGUGUCCCCGGGUGGGUUGGGCUCUGCAGCAUCAAAAAUGGUCAAGGGAUGAGACUUUAAGUCCACCGUUCUAUGUGCAGAAACUUUGGAGCCUUACUGCAGCCUUCCUUUUAGUGUGAGUUCUGUCUUCUGCCCGGACUUAAAAGGCAUCAUCUGUACGUGGUGCACGGCCUUUUGUUGUCAUUUUCCUGGGUGGAUUUUUGUGCUUCCUAAACUAUCUGUUUGGAUAAUGUAUUAUUUUUAUAAUUGGAG